UCGUGGGUCCUAGCAAAUUCCCUUUUGAAUAAAAAUACGGUAUGCUACUGAAAGUAACCAUUAUGUGAUCGAUUUAAAACGCCAUUAGCAUAAAGUCUGCGUCGUCAAUAAUAUUUCUUCUAUUGGUGCUGACGUGGAAAUUGUCAUCGUGUGUACUCCAUUUCAUCAAAAUGGGUAAUGUUUUCUUUGUGGGAUUAUCAGAGAGAAUUUUUUAAAUUUUUAUUUUUUACAAAAGUCGCGUCGCCUCUAUUGCUUUAAACAGGCAUAUAUUUCCUCUUUUCAUGCCCUU